GCCCGCUUAGCUCAGUGGUAGAGCGCGCCACUCGUAUGAAAAUUCCACCCAAUCGAUGGUGAGGUCGGUUGUUCAAUCCAGCCAGUGGGCA